ACUACUAGAAGUGUUAAAGCACAUAAAAAUUUGAUUUUUAAAGAAAUGAAACCAUUCUGUAGUA
rnacentral:tRNA from 1 species